GAAGAUUUGGUGUUGGUGAUUUCAAGAGAGAUGAUGAAAAUCGAAAAAGAAGCCGCCACAAAAUUAUGGAAGUGAUCGCUACAGAGCAUGUUAUGAAGAUCGCCAAAGGGUUUGUGAUGAAGAUUAUUCUCACCACAAACGUAAAUCCCGAUGGUCAGAGGAUUUUUCUGGGAAGGCGAAUUAUGAAGUUUCAAAAUUUAUGGAAGAAGAAAUAAGAUCAGAAAAAUCUUCAUCAAUUGCUCAUCUAAAUAUCAAAGCUGCUUAAACGAAAGUUUUUCCGUCUACUGCAGCUGUUAUUCCAGUUUCAGGGUCUGAAAUUAAUGCAAGACAUAUAAUUUCUCAACCUCUGAACACCCAAACUCGAGGGGAUGCAAGUAGUUCUCGUAUUCCUGGCGGCAAUAUUUCUUCUCGAAAGGGUGUUUUGAAUGAGAAUUUUUCUCUGCUUAAUAAUUCCCUUAUUGCAUCAGCUUUAUCAAAGAGAAUUAUCCCAACUAAUGACCGGGCUUUUUAAGCAUCCCUCGACGAUCAUACAGUUUGUUUGGGGAUUGCUAAUGGAUUGUGGAAUGUAAGACUUUACAAAUUUACUUUUAUUAUUUAGUUUAAUUCCUAACUUAUAAUUUUUAUUCUUAUUGUUUUAUAGGUUUUAUGCAAUCAUA
rnacentral:lncRNA from 1 species